CUCUUGGCCGGGAGUCCUCAACAAAUGGUUUUUCUCAAUAAUUUUCCUGCUUUGAGUAAGGAACUAUGCAAAUGAUAGGCAGGUUAGCCAGAAGGGACGGGAAAAGUAGCAUUUCCCAGCUAACGAAGAGUUUUGUCCAGGAUGGAGUCGCGUGCACGGAAUCAAGUGUUUUGUUUCUUGGAGUCUGACUUGGAGGGCAGAGCUUAUCCAUCCCUAGUCAAAACCCUCUGUAAAGGAGCUGGAUAAUUUUGCGCGGAGAAGGAUUUCUCUGGCCCGGUGUCUCUACCAGAGCGGGGAAAUGAAAGACGAAAGCCAAGACUCUGUCAAGACAAAUGGGAGAGAACCUACUCCUCUGCUGGACGCGAAGCACAUGUCCCGGUUUAACAGGCGAACCAGACGAUGCUGAGUCCUCACACCUGAUCUCGUUCGUUCUGCCUUCCUCCCUGGCCCGGCAGGCAGUGUUGGGCGGUGCAUUUCUUACUGGAACUGGCCUGUGUCGUCAGAGGGUCACCCAUCAGAAGACUUUGGUGCUGGAAAAGACACUAUUUCACUAGAGUGGGGUAAGUUUCUUCCUCUCUUUUCUCCUCCCUCAAGAUGCCUUAACCUUCUGGCCGCCUGGUUUCUCACACGCACCAAGCCCGCCUCAGGAUCUUUGCACUGACUCUGAAAUGCUAUCCUGCAAUAUCCUCGUGGCCUUGAUCCCUCACUUUGCUCAGGUCUUUGCUCAGAGAGACCUCCUUUGC